rnacentral:lncRNA from 1 species
CCGUAAGGAGCGCAGGCGGGCCAGCGUCGGUGGCACCAACGAGAGGCGAGGCCUGGAGAGAAGACGCAGCCGAAGACAUUCACUCCAGAAUAGCAGAGGCCACACUUCUGCCCCGGCAUCACCGAGCAGCGCUCACGCGAGCAGCUUCCUGCCUUUCGGUGGCCAACGCGUUGAGGACAUCAGUGAGAGAAUCCGUGCCAAUGGCAGUCCAUACCCUGGCAGGCACAAGGCUUCGACAUCACCCAUGCAUCGCUUCACUACUUCAGCAACCUGCACACCAGAGUCCAAAGCAGUUGACAGACCUGCUCUAGGAGGCUUGCUCACUUCAUCGUACAGACAGCAUCAGGAGUCUCUGACUGCGGAGAGAGAGAGGAGACGCCUGGAAAGAGAAGAGCGUCUGCAGAGAAUCGAAAGAGAAGAGAGGAACCGUUUCAAGUUAGUCUCACCCAACCAAUCAGACAAAAUACUAUAUGAAUAUAUGUCAGAGAGAAUAUAUUAUUU